AUAUUUAAUAAACCUAAAUGUAUUGACUUCCUCUUUAGGCACAAUAACAGUUAGAACUCAAUUCUUCAUUGAAGCUUUAACCUGACCCAUCUAUGCAUUCUCCGGCAGCCUAAAUCUCCUCAAGAACCUACCAUGGAUGCGCUCCACACGAUGACAGGUAUCAUUCUUGUUUUCCCUCACCACAUUCCUCUCUCCACUGAUUUGAAGCAUUUUGUCAUUUUCAUUUUUUCCUUCUUAAGUUCCAGAAGGUCAGCUUUAAAUAGAUGAGAUUCUAGAUUCUCCUUCUCGGCUAUGCAAGCAUUAACAAAAGCUAGAUUUUCACGAGAGACGAGUGAAAAUGAAGAAUGAGAUGAAAAAUAUUUAAAUCGAGAUCAAAUCUCGUAAUAAGAGAAGGGGUCGUUCUAGGUAGCUGCACCAAAGGAGACAUAUGUGUAUAUAUACACACACACAUACAUGUGUACAUCUAUGUAUAUAUAUAUAAAUAAUAAUAAUAAUGAUAAUACUAGCACAUGUACCUAAAAAUCCAUUUCUGUUCCUCUCCCUCAUUUCUUUUUCUUUUUCCCGCAUACAUACAUUCCCACUUUUUUUCGCUCACACCUUUCUAACGUCAACCAAUUGCCCUCAUCAUUUUCCUCUACCCGAAGCAAGGAUCCACUAUCUUCCGUGCUUGGCCGACUGCAAACUCCAUUUUCCUUCCAUUUCUUGUUGGAAAAUUGAAGAAAAAGGGGAAUAGUAGGCUGCCCUUCUUCCCAAAGCUGUUGCAAGUGUGGUGGUUGUCUAAGCUGCUGCCAAGAGUUUCUCGAGCACCAAAUAGCCCAUUUUAGGCCCCCAUUACAACUGCCAUCACUGGAAAUGGGAGUAAAAGCUUCGCUGAAGUAGUAACUUGUUUGAUAUUUUCUUAAAAAAUGGUGAAGAGUUGGGCAAAAAUAACUGCAUAUUUGGAAUCCUCGCGUUGAAAGCUUCGAGUAGGUGGUCUUGAAUCGCGAUUCCGGGAAUAUUGAAUUUUUAGCUACCGCGGGUGGCGGUGCCUCGAUUUACGUGUCAAAGGAGAGAAUCUUUCCCGCUUUAUUUCAAGAAAUUUAGUGGUAUUGAUUCAUUAAAAUUCCUCCCGGAUUAAUUGUGGUAUUAAAAUUAGAAUAUUUAAUCGGAUUGCAUCGAGAUUGUUUGCACGCCGGUAGAAAUACGAGACAGAUAGUAAAAAUAGUAAAUUUAAAAAAACAAAUUUAGGAUUUAUCCUGGUCGAGCAUUGCAUUUUGGGCUGAAUAUAGUAAGCUUUUCGGAGUAAAAGUCCAUGGUCGAGCAUUGUUCUCCGGGUGCCGACUUAUUUGGAAAUCUAAGUGACCAUACUAGAUUUAAGGAUCCUGGUCGAGCUUCGCUCUCUGUGCGCCAGUCUUAUUGGAGUAAGAAAGCCGAAAGGCUAACACUGAUAUUGAUAGUUAAGUGACCGGACUGCAGUUAAGGAUUCUGGUCGAGCUCCGCUCUCUGGGCGCCAGUUCUGUUGGAAUGAGAUAAUCGGGAUGUUAGUGUUGGGAUUAGGAUUCUACUGAGGUACUCCGUCCCGUGGUGAUUGUUAGUCUUUCCGCAGUUCUUAUCUAGCAGCCCGACUCCAUCAUCGGGUUGAUGUAAUUGAUUUUGAUAUGUUUGACUUGUAAAAUUUUAGAUUUUUCGCAGUAGAAAUUUUAAACUUAUUAGUUGUAAUUUUAUGUAAAUUCAAGUCUUGCCUAAUUAUGUUGGCAAACCGAAUUAAAUAUGUAGAAUUUGAUGGUUAAGGUUAAUUGUGAAUCUGUGCUUUGGAUGGAGUCCUAAUUUUAAUUUGAUUAAGUUAA